rnacentral:rRNA from 1 species
UACGAAGGGGGCAAGCGUUGUUCGGAAUGACUGGGCGUAAAGGGCGCGUAGGCGGUUCGUUGCGUCAGAUGUGAAAGCCCCGGGCUCAACCUGGGAACUGCAUUUGAUACGGGCGAGCUUGAAUCCAAGAGAGGGUGGUGGAAUUCCCAGUGUAGAGGUGAAAAUUCGUAGAUAUUGGGAAGAACACCUGUGGCGAAAGCGGCCACCUGGACU